rnacentral:rRNA from 1 species
UACGUAGGUGGCAAGCGUUGUCCGGAAUUAUUGGGCGUAAAGCGCGCGCAGGCGGUCUUUUAAGUCUGAUGUGAAAGCCCACGGCUCAACCGUGGAGGGUCAUUGGAAACUGGGGGACUUGAGUGCAGGAGAGAAGAGUGGAAUUCCACGUGUAGCGGUGAAAUGCGUAGAGAUGUGGAGGAACACCAGUGGCGAAGGCGGCGUUCUGGACUGCAACUGACACUGAGGAACGAAAGCCAGGGGAGCAAACGGG